CUACAUUGUGGUCACACAAGGAGAAACAGUGAUUCAAGAGGCGGACUUGGGGCAAAAGUAAGGCCAUCCAAAGGUAUAUUUCAUCGAGGAAAAAUAGGCAGCGCCCCGAAAAUGGUUAGGGCUCAAAAUCUGGUUCCGGAACACAGGGAUAGAGGUAAGAACUAAUUGUGGCAGAACAUUCCAGAACAAGACAAGCGGAGACUCGCCUUGGUAAGCAGAGCCUGGAGAGGCAUGGGUCAGAUGGCACCCGAAAAUAAAAGUGACAGUGACAGAGGAAGGAAGAAAAUCAAAAAAGAAGAAGAGAAAAGACUGGAGAGGGUGUUGUUAUCAGGACAGUUCCACAUCCAGUCCUGACAGAAGCCAGAAACAGGAGACGAGAUUAAGACACAGAGGUACACAGACAGACGACCCUGCGAGGACCCGGGGAGCAGGCUGCCAUCCACGAGCUAAGGAGAGGGGCCUUGGAAGAAACCAACCCCAUUCACACCUCGAUCUUGGACGUCCAGCCUCCAGAACCGUGAGACAAACGUCUGUGGUUUGAGCCACACGGUCUGGGUGCCUGUGAUGGCAGCCGCACGCUAAGACACUUUCAACUGCCCCAUUCCCAACGCUGUCUUCCCCUCCUAGCUUGGUUUUUCUCCUUAGUCUCCAUUCCCACCUGGCAGAUCCGACGUCUUAUUUAUCUGGUCCCUCGUCUGUCCCAAAGUGCCCUCCCUCCCGUGCCAACUCCGUAAGAGUGAGAUUUUUGUCUAUUUGGUUCACUGCUGAGGCCCCUUGUGACCAGAUCAGCACCGAAUACAUAGACUGUGCUCUGUGGUGGCAA